rnacentral:rRNA from 1 species
CCCUUAGAUGUUCUGGGCCGCACGCGCGCUACACUGGUACGUUCAACAAGUUUACAACCUUGAUCGAUAGGUCUGGGUAAUCUUUUUAAUGCGUACCGUGCUAGGGAUAGAUUAUUGCAAUUAUUAAUCUUGAACGAGGAAUUCCUAGUAAACGCAAGUCAUCAGCUUGCAUUGAUUACGUCCCUGCCCUUUGUACACACCGCCCGUCGCACCUACUGAUUGAAUGACUCGGUGAAAAAUUGGGACUGUGAGAACAAUCGAUUCAGUUCGAAUGUACUCGUGGAAACUUUUUUUAACCUCGCCAUUUAGAAGAAGGUGAANUCGUAGCA